rnacentral:rRNA from 1 species
AGAGUUUGAUCAUGGCUCAGGAUGAACGCUAGCUACAGGCUUAACACAUGCAAGUCGAGGGGCAUCAGUUUGGUUUGCUUGCAAACCAAAGCUGGCGACCGGCGCACGGGUGAGUAACACGCAUCCAACCUGCCUCAUACUCGGGGAUAGCCUUUCGAAAGAAAGAUUAAUAUCCGAUAGCAUAUAUUUCCCGCAUGGGUUUUAUAUUAAAGAAUUCGGUAUGAGAUGGGGAUGCGUUCCAUUAGUUUGUUGGCGGGGUAACGGCCACAAGACUACGAUGGAUAGGGGUUCUGAGAGGAAGGUCCCCCCANAUUGGAACUGAGACACGGUCCAAACUCCUACGGGAGGCA